ensembl:lncRNA
GACCAUGCUGCUCUGCUUCCCUUCUCUCUGCCUCUAGGCAGCUUCUUGCUUCAUGGUUAAAUGUCCCUGAGCAAGGAGCCUGGGCCAAUCCUGCUGGGGCUGGACCUGGAGGCCCGCCCCAGGGAGGAGGGACUGAGCCCUGGCCCAGAUGCAAAGGCGGCCUGAAUCGCCGGUCUUGAGACGUGUCUGUGAGUGCAAACCUUCAGAUUUGUCAGCCCAACAUGUGAGCAAAGGCUUUCAAAACCUCCAGGGGUGAUGCGCAUGCUGGUGCACUUGGGAAAUGUUAUUUUGGCACCUGUCAUUCUCACCACGAUAUUUUAAAUACUUUUUGAAACAGAGCUUUAUUUUAUAAAAAAGCUAACCAGCAAGCAAGAAAAAAAAAAAAAGAAACCAAAACAAAAACUCAAAUCAACAUGAAGGAAUGAGGCUUUCUUUUCCAUGGUGUGUUUCUUCCCAAGCUUUCUAAAUCUGCCAGGACAUCUGAAGAUGAGAAGAAAACAUAAGUGGAUGGAAAUCACCCUCCAGCUACCCUGCUUUGAGAAAGAACAUCAAACAUAUAAAAGAGUAUUUCCUGGAGGCUAAGGGUGGGUGUGCUACGGCGUCCAGGAAGAAACCUGUGGUGGGAAUCAGGGCUGAAGUUCUGCUGUCGGCUCUGUGUCGCUUGUGUGCUUUGGACAAACCUGUCACCCUCCAGUUUUCAAGGGUUCCUUUCAAUCCAAUGAUGUGAUUGGGGCUCAGAGAUUUUCGGCUUUUCUCAGUGGUGGAGUCUUUGGUUGAAAUAAAUUCUUAGGAGAAGAUCAAGAUAUAAAUCCGAUACAAAGAAAAAUAAAGAGACCCAUGGGUGGGGUGAUGAGCUGGAAUCUUGCUUGGCCAUCCUCCGCAGCUUCCAUUUCCCCUCACUGGGGCUUCCUGAGACAAUGUCAGAAACCCAGCUAAUACUGUGAGAUGCUUUCAGAUAUUACUGUAAGGGCGUAAUAGUUACACUCGAGCCUUCAGACAGAAACUACAUACUGAGUUCCCUCGCACAUCUGUGGACCCAGUUGCUAGAAAUGGAGCGACCAGUGAAGCUGCAUUCCUUACACUGAUUCUUUCAAUGCCUCAGAUAUUUCAAAUUUUUCCAGCUUUGGGCCUAUUCAUCAGGAGUUCACUCUUCCAAAAAUACACUGCCUCCAUAUUUUUGCAUGAAUAACCCCUUUCUCUUCGUUUAAAUUUUAAAUAGAUCCAAUUCCGGAGUCCUUUCCUGAGAAGCAGGCUCUUUGGGAAGAGCCUCACUGGAAUUGAUUUCUUGCAAGGCCUCAGAAGAAGCUCAGCAAUACGCUCACACACUGUACGUUUUUGUGAAAUUUGUGAGAGUCAGAUAUUCCAACAGCAAUCCAUUAUGAUCAUUCUUUUUGUUCUCUCACCUUCCCCUCUGUCACAUUUCCUUCAUGGUGGGUGGCUUUUGAAAUCUUCAUUUCUCAUUUUCUUCAUCUUCAAAAUGAGAAAAAGAAUAGUAUCUACACCCGAGUGGUGUUUCAAGGGUUAAAUAUAUUCAUACAGGAAAAUUGCUUGGAACAGGGCCUGAUGGGCAGGAAAUGCUUACUGUCUUAUUAUUUUCACUUAUUUAGAAAUCAACAAAAUAGUAGAUUACUGAAUUCAAGUCCUAGCUGGACCUUUGAAGACCAUAAGUAAAUUGUGACUAUUAAGAAUAUCAAAGAAGGCAAGGCCUAAACUCCUCCCUCUCGAGUUGAUGCAGUGAAAGCCCAGAGAAUGAAAUUGUUUGUCCAAAUCUUGCAGCUAGGGAGGGUGCAAGGUGAGACUGAUGCCCAGGUCUGCUGAUGGAAAGUCUGUCAUCGGAUGGAAGGAAAGAAGCCUGCUGGGAGAAUUUGCCCAAGCCUCUACUGACCUCUUUCUCACACUCAGUCCUGUGGAUUCCAGCUGCUUAGCAACAGCUAGAGAAGAACUGGGGUGUCCCAAACAGCCUGCUGGGCACUGACAGAAGCUAUGACUAAGGUCCCUCACACCACUGUGUAUCCAGUUGUUAGAAAAUGGAGCGGCCAGUGAAGCUGGCCAGAACUUGUGACUCCUAUUGCCACCAAACUGAUUUUGCAUAAGGCGGACGUGCAUUUUAGAAUUUGGGUAAAUUCGUUUUGAGGCUACUGCUUCUUUCUAAGGUACCAGCAGGAUGCAGAAGCAGAUCGUAGAAGUUAUAACCGGAUCUCAUUAUCACACACAAGGAUCAACUCCAGAGGGUAGGAGAUCUCUCUAUAAAGAAUAAAUUCAUACUCUGGGAGGGGGACUGCAAGAUGGAGCUCGGCCUGGGAAACUGAGUGAGACCCUAUCUCAAAAUAAAAAAUAAUAAAAGAAAAAGGGCUACAUGUAGCUCAGUGCUCAGGCACCAGGUUCAAUCCCCAGUACUGGAAAAAAUAAAAUAAAGAAUAAAACCAAAAUAUUCCUGGAAGAAUGCACGGGUGAAAUGCAGACAGCCUUGUCACUGUGUCACCAACAUCUACAUGCCAUAAAAAGGGUUGAUAAGUUGGAUAACCGUAAGGAGCAAACACAUAAAUAAUGCAAAAUAGGACUUUCCUCAUGGCAAAACAAAGAGGUGCAACCCCUUCCCACACUAAAAACCUACACAUACCAUUAAUAAAAUCAAACCCAGGGAGGGCUGGGGAUGUAGCUCAGUGGCACCGGG